AUCUGCGAUAAGCGCCGGUAAGGUGAUAUGAACCGUUAUAACCGGCGAUACCCGAAUGGGGAAACCCAGUGUGAUUCGUCACACUAUCAUUAACUGAAUCCAUAGGUUAAUGAGGCGAACCGGGGGAACUGAAACAUCUAAGUACCCCGAGGAAAAGAAAUCAACCGAGAUUCCCCCAGUAGCGGCGAGCGAACGGGGAGGAGCCCAGAGCCUGAAUCAGCAUGUGUGUUAGUGGAAGCGUCUGGAAAGGCGCGCGAUACAGGGUGACAGCCCCGUACACAAAAGCGCAUGUGCUGUGAGCUCGAUGAGUAGGGCGGGACACGUGGUAUCCUGUCUGAAUAUGGGGGGACCAUCCUCCAAGGCUAAAUACUCCUGACUGACCGAUAGUGAACCAGUACCGUGAGGGAAAGGCGAAAAGAACCCCGGCGAGGGGAGUGAAAAAGAACCUGAAACCGUGUACGUACAAGCAGUGGGAGCACCCUUUGGG
rnacentral:rRNA from 1 species